rnacentral:rRNA from 1 species
AUUGAACGCUGGCGGCAUGCCUUACACAUGCAAGUCGAACGGCAGCACGGGAGCAAUCCUGGUGGCGAGUGGCGAACGGGUGAGUAAUACAUCGGAACGUGCCCAGUAGUGGGGGAUAACCCGGCGAAAGCCGGACUAAUACCGCAUACGACCUACGGGUGAAAGCGGGGGAUCGCAAGACCUCGCGCUAUCGGAGCGGCCGAUGUCAGAUUAGCUAGUUGGUGGGGUAAAGGCCUACCAAGGCGACGAUCUGUAGCUGGUCUGAGAGGACGACCAGGCACACUGGGACUGAGACACGGCCCAGACUCCUACGGGAGGCAGCAGUGGGGAAUUUUGGACAAUGGGCGCAAGCCUGAUCCAGCCAUGCCGCGUGCGGGAAGAAGGCCUUCGGGUUGUAAACCGCUUUUGUCAGGGAAGAAACGCUCCGGGCUAAUACCACGGAGUAAUGACGGUACCUGAAGAAUAAGCACCGGCUAACUACGUG